rnacentral:snRNA from 1 species
UGGUAACAUGCAGUGGUUG